rnacentral:rRNA from 1 species
CACUCCUGCGGGAGGCAGCAGUAGGGAAUCUUCCACAAUGGGUGCAAACCUGAUGGAGCAAUGCCGCGUGAGUGAAGAAGGUCUUCGGAUCGUAAAGCUCUGUUGUUAGAGAAGAACACGUGCUAGGUAACUACUAGCGCCUUGACGGUAUCUAACCAGAAAGUCACGGCUAACUACGUGCCAGCAGCCGCGGUAAUACGUAGGUGACAAGCGUUGUCCGGAUUUAUUGGGCGUAAAGGGAGCGCAGGCGGUCUGUUUAGUCUAAUGUGAAAGCCCACGGCUUAACCGUGGAACGGCAUUGGAAACUGACAGACUUGAAUGUAGAAGAGGAAAAUGGAAUUCCAAGUGUAGCGGUGGAAUGCGUAGAUAUUUGGAGGAACACCAGUGGCGAAGGCGAUUUUCUGGUCUAACAUUGACGCUGAGGCUCGAAAGCGUGGGGAGCGAACAGGAUUAGAUACCCUAGUAGUCCC